rnacentral:rRNA from 1 species
CUCCUACGGGAGGCAGCAGUGGGGAAUUUUGGACAAUGGGGGCAACCCUGAUCCAGCCAUUCCGCGUGAGUGAAGAAGGCCUUCGGGUUGUAAAGCUCUUUUGUUCGGGACGAAACGGUUUCACCUAAUACGUGAGACUACUGACGGUACCGGAAGAAUAAGCACCGGCUAACUACGUGCCAGCAGCCGCGGUAAUACGUAGGGUGCGAGCGUUAAUCGGAAUUACUGGGCGUAAAGCGUGCGCAGGCGGUUUUAUAAGCCAGAUGUGAAAGCCCCGGGCUCAACCUGGGAAUGGCAUUUGGGACUGUAAGGCUGGAGUAUGGCAGAGGAGACUAGAAUUCCUGGUGUAGCAGUGAAAUGCGUAGAUAUCAGGAGGAAUACCGAUGGCGAAGGCAGGUCUCUGGGCCAAUACUGACGCUCAUGCACGAAAGCGUGGGGAGCAAACAGGAUUAGAUACCCUGGUAGUCCACGCCCUAAACGAUGUCAACUGGUUGUUGGGGGAUUUAUUCUCUUAGUAACGAAGCUAACGCGUGAAGUGACCGCC